CAGCAGUAGCCGCGGGAAUACCGAGGGUGCGAGCGUUAAUCGGAUUUACUGGGCGUAAAGCGUGCGUAGGCGGCUUCUUAAGUCGGAUGUGAAAUCCCUGAGCUUAACUUAGGAAUUGCAUUCGAUACUGGGAAGCUAGAGUAUGGGAGAGGAUGGUAGAAUUCCAGGUGUAGCGGUGAAAUGCGUAGAGAUCUGGAGGAAUACCGAUGGCGAAGGCAGCCAUCUGGCCUAAUACUGACGCUGAGGUACGAAAGCAUGGGGAGCAAACAGGAUUAGAUACCCGUGUAGUCCCUGUCUCUUAUAA
rnacentral:rRNA from 1 species